ACUAGAUCUAGCCCACACUCCCCNCCCCCCCCCCCCCCCCAUCACAGACAAAUCAAAUAAAGCAUUCACCACCCAUUCAAAGUAUAGGAGAUAGAAAUCCAAAUCACUAGUGGCGCUAUAGAGAAAGUACCGUAAGGGAAAGAUGAAAGAUAUCCUAAAAGUAAAAAAAAGCAAAGCUUACCCCUUGUACCUUUUGCAUAAUGAAUUAACUAGUAGUAACUUAGCAAAGAGACCUUUAGUUAAACUACCCGAAACCAGACGAGCUACUUACGAACAGUACCUAGAACGAACUCAUCUAUGUGGCAAAAUAGUGAGAAGAUUUGUAAGUAGAGGUGAAAAGCCUAACGAGCCUGGUGAUAGCUGGUUGUCCAAGAAAAGAAUCUCAGUUCAACAUUAAACAGUACCAAGAACCCCCUGAAGUUCCAAUGUAUGUUUAACUGUUAGUCUAAAAAGGUACAGCUUUUUAGAAAUGGGUACAACCUUAACUAGAGAGUAAAACAGACACACACAUGCCAUAGUUGGCUUAAAAGCAGCCAUCAAUUAAGAAAGCGUUCAAGCUCAACAAUAAAACUGUGUUAUAAUCCCAACAAUAACAAAUCAACUCCUAGUAUAAUUAUUGGACUAAUCUAUAUAAUUAUAGAAGCAAUACUGUUAACAUGAGUAACAAGAAAACUUUUUCUCCUCGCACAAGCUUACAUCAGUAACUGAUACUACACUGAUAGUUAACAGCCAAUAAAUAAAACCCAACGCCAAGCCAUUUAUUAAGCCCACUGUUAACCCAACACAGGCGUGCACCAAGGAAAGAUUAAAAAAAGUAAAAGGAACUCGGCAAACACAAACCUCGCCUGUUUACCAAAAACAUCACCUCUAGCAUAACCAGUAUUAGAGGCACUGCCUGCCCAGUGACUGAUAGUUAAACGGCCGCGGUAUCCUGACCGUGCAAAGGUAGCAUAAUCACUUGUUCUCUAAAUAAGGACUUGUAUGAACGGCCACACGAAGGUUUUACUGUCUCUUACUUUUAAUCAGUGAAAUUGACCUUCCCGUGAAGAGGCGGGAAUAACAAAACAAGACGAGAAGACCCUAUGGAGCUUCAAUUAAUCAACCCAAUAACCCACAACCUCAAACCACCAAGGGAUAAAAAAAACUUAUAUGGGUUGACAAUUUCGGUUGGGGUGACCUCGGAGCACAAAAACCCCUCCGAGUGAUUAAAGCCUAGGCCUACCAGCCAAAGCAUAACAUCACUUAUUGAUCCAAAGCUUUGAUCAACGGAACAAGUUACCCUAGGGAUAACAGCGCAAUCCUAUUCUAGAGUCCAUAUCGACAAUAGGGUUUACGACCUCGAUGUUGGAUCAGGACAUCCUAAUGGUGCAGCCGCUAUUAAGGGUUCGUUUGUUCAACGAUUAAAGUCCUACGUGAUCUGAGUUCAGACCGGAGCAAUCCAGGUCGGUUUCUAUCUGUUGCGCAUUUCUCCCAGUACGAAAGGACAAGAGAAAUAAGGCCAACUUUACACACGCGCCUUCAAAUAACUAAUGAUCUAAUCUUAAUUAAACAAACAAGCGCAAACUAACCCUGCCCAAGACCAGGGCAUU
rnacentral:rRNA from 1 species